rnacentral:rRNA from 1 species
GGAGGGGGAUAACUACUGGAAACGGUAGCUAAUACCGCAUAACGUCGCAAGACCAAAGAGGGGGACCUUCGGGCCUCUUGCCAUCGGAUGUGCCCAGAUGGGAUUAGCUAGUAGGUGGGGUAACGGCUCACCUAGGCGACGAUCCCUAGCUGGUCUGAGAGGAUGACCAGCCACACUGGAACUGAGACACGGUCCAGACUCCUACGGGAGGCAGCAGUGGGGAAUAUUGCACAAUGGGCGCAAGCCUGAUGCAGCCAUGCCGCGUGUAUGAAGAAGGCCUUCGGGUUGUAAAGUACUUUCAGCGGGGAGGAAGGCGAUAAGGUUAAUAACCUUGUCGAUUGACGUUACCCGCAGAAGAAGCACCGGCUAACUCCGUGCCAGCAGCCGCGGUAAUACGGAGGGUGCAAGCGUUAAUCGGAAUUACUGGGCGUAAAGCGCACGCAGGCGGUCUGUCAAGUCGGAUGUGAAAUCCCCGGGCUCAACCUGGGAACUGCAUUCGAAACUGGCAGGCUAGAGUCUUGUAGAGGGGGGUAGAAUUCCAGGUGUAGCGGUGAAAUGCGUAGAGAUCUGGAGGAAUACCGGUGGCGAAGGCGGCCCCCUGGACAAAGACUGACGCUCAGGUGCGAAAGCGUGGGGAGCAAACAGGAUUAUAUACCCUGGUAGUCCACGCCGUAAACGAUGUC